rnacentral:rRNA from 1 species
UGCGUAACACGUGAGAAACCUGCCCCGGUCUCUGGGAUAACAGUCGGAAACGACUGCUAAUACCGGAUACCGUCGGACCACCGCAUGGUGGACCGACGAAAGGGUUACCGGAUCGGGAGGGUCUCGCGGCCUAUCAGCUUGUUGGUGAGGUAACGGCUCACCAAGGCAUUGACGGGUAGCUGGUCUGAGAGGAUGAUCAGCCACACUGGGACUGAGACACGGCCCAGACUCCUACGGGAGGCAGCAGUGGGGAAUAUUGCACAAUGGGCGAAAGCCUGAUGCAGCAACGCCGCGUGCGGGAAGAAGGCCCUAGGGUUGUAAACCGCUUUCAGCAGGGAAGAAAAUGACGGUACCUGCAGAAGAAGGUGCGGCCAACUACGUGCCAGCAGCCGCGGUGACACGUAGGCACCAAGCGUUGUCCGGAUUUAUUGGGCGUAAAGAGCUCGUAGGCGGUUCAGUAAGUCGGGUGUGAAAACUCUGGGCUCAACCCAGAGACGCCACCCGAUACUGCUGUGACUCGAGUGCGGUAGGGGAGCGGGGAAUUCCUAGUGUAGCGGUGAAAUG